rnacentral:misc_RNA from 1 species
GAAAUUUACAAACUAAAAUUCUAAAAGUUUCUCUACACCAACAAAAUUCUAUCAUUUUGUUUUCUUCUUUCUAAAAAUUGUUUCUUCUUUUUUUUUGUUUUUUGGGAUUUUGAUUGAUGGAUCAAGAAGACAUGUUAACAUGCACAGUGGCAUUCAUGUUAGAGUUGCAUACAGGGCAUGUAUGGACUAAACUUGAACCACAAACAGCACACAGGCAAAGAUGCCUGCAUGGCAAUAGCAAUACACAUGAUUCCCUCUCACCACACCUUUUGCACAUCCUGUUAUCCUGCGCUUCUCCGACUAUGGUGCGCCGGCCUUCGAUUUCAUCCUCCUCUUCCGCCCCCGCCCCGUGGUCGCUGCUGCCGCAGCAGGAUUCGGCGACUUCCUCAACUGCGGUUCCGGCGAAGUUACCGCCGGCGGAGAUACGUUCGUCCCCGACGUGGGCUAAUACUUGUUCUAAGUUGUUGCGGAGGGAAUUCGCUGUUGCUUCGUUUGUUUGUGCUAAAUCUCUCCAUAACUGAUUCUCAACGAACAGACUUUUCACUUUUUCUUGUAGAACCAUAUUGAUUUUCCCCAUUCGUUGAAUUUGUUCGUCUUUCUCUUUCAGUUUUUUCGAUACGCCUUCCCCGAUUGCUGCAACCAACACCCUCGCUUGCUGUUUCUGCCUUUCUUCUAAUUCCAUCCUUACUUUCUUAGUAUGAAGCGAAAUAAUCCGAUCGAUAUCACACUGGUACUGUUGUAGAAGUGGCAAAACGUCAUCUCCGACAAACGACGUAGUAUUACAAGUAUUAAAUUGAUUAAACGAAUCCCUCGACCGCUUCCUCGUCGCCGCUACACCGGCAGCAGUGGUAGCGUUCACAGUUGUAGGAAGAUUGAAAGUGAGACCACUAUCCGUAUUUACCGACGUUUUUGGCUGAACGGAAUCACACAUCAGACUCUGAUGAAACGGCAAAAAACUAUUCUCCGGCGUCGGUAACGGUAACAGAGAAGAACCAACAAUUUGGGUAUUGUACGAAAACCCAUUCCCUUGAUUCGAAACCAUUUGCUGCUGUUGCUGAGUGAAAAGAUUGAGAUGUCUUGCCUCAACUGCCAUUGAAAUAACUCUUUGUUGUUGUUGAGAGAAAACAGAGAGAGAGAGAUUU